rnacentral:rRNA from 1 species
CCUACGGGAGGCAGCAGUGGGGAAUAUUGGACAAUGGGGGCAACCCUGAUCCAGCCAUGCCGCGUGUGUGAAGAAGGCCCUCGGGUUGUAAAGCACUUUCAGUGAGGAAGAACGCCUGGUGGUUAAUACCCAUCAGGAAAGACAUCACUCACAGAAGAAGCACCGGCUAACUCCGUGCCAGCAGCCGCGGUAAUACGGAGGGUGCGAGCGUUAAUCGGAAUUACUGGGCGUAAAGCGCGCGUAGGUGGCUUGAUAAGCCGGUUGUGAAAGCCCCGGGCUCAACCUGGGAACGGCAUCCGGAACUGUCAAGCUAGAGUGUAGGAGAGGAAGGUAGAAUUCCCGGUGUAGCGGUGAAAUGCGUAGAGAUCGGGAGGAAUACCAGUGGCGAAGGCGGCCUUCUGGACUGACACUGACACUGAGGUGCGAAAGCGUGGGUAGCAAACAGGAUUAGAUACCCGGGUAGUC